ACUCAAAUGAAUUGACGGGGACCCGCACAAGCAGCGGAGCGUGUGGUUUAAUUCGAUGCUACACGAAGAACCUUACCCAGGUUUGACAUACAGGUAGUAGUGAAGCGAAAGCGGAACGAUCCUUCGGGAAGCCUGAACAGGUGCUGCAUGGCUGUCGUCAGCUCGUGCCGUGAGGUGUUUGGUUAAGUCCACUAACGAGCGCAACCCCUGUCGUCAGUUAUAUGUGUCUGACGAGACUGCCGGUCUUAAACCGGAGGAAGAUGGGGAUGACGUCAAGUCAGCAUGGCCUUUAUAUCUGGGGCUACACACACGCUACAAUGGCCGGUACAAUAGGUUGCCAACCCGCGAGGGGGAGCUAAUCCUCUAAAACCGGUCUCAGUUCGGAUUGUAGGCUGCAACUCGCCUGCAUGAAGCCGGAGUUGCUAGUAAACGUGCGUCAGCUAUAGCGCGUUGAAUGCGUUCCCGGGUCUUGCACACACCGCCCGU
rnacentral:rRNA from 1 species